AUGUUGCGCGGUCUAAAGAGUGGAAGAUUCGCUAUACCAAUGAGCUGGAGAGGAAGGUCUAGACCCUUCAAACUGAAGCCACUACCCAUUCUGCGCAGGUUGCAUUGCUCCAGAGGGAUACUACUGGGUUAACUGCUGAGAAUAAGGAGCUCAAAAUGCGAUUACAGGCUAUGGAGCAAUAAGCACAACUCAGAGAGGGUACGGUUCUAUUACACCAGGGGAAGCAUUUGGGAGCCUUGUGAAAAUGGAAAAUGGAUAUUUUGUUUUUUGUUUGUUCUAGCUAUUAACAAUUUCAAGUUAACCAAAUUCUCUUCUUUGCUUUUUACUCUUUCAAGGAAUGAAUCCAUGUUGUUAUUUUCUUUUUCUCAUCCACAGCUCUGAACAAAAAAUUGAGGGAAGAAGUUCAGCGCCUCAAGAUAGCAAUCGGGCAAGUUCCCUCUAACAAUGCAAUAUGUUCAACCGAGGACUCGCUCCCCAAUUCGCC